CACAAUAGUUGAUAUCCUGUAUGUUACUUUAUACUGAUAAUAAUCACAUGUAGUAUGCACCUGACUUUAUACUUUUUGGUUAUUGUAUCUAUGGUCAUGUUUGUAGAGAGAGAACUGUCAGAUUUUGGCGGCGCUUCAUUUGCCCGAGGUUAUGUUGGAUUUGUUCUUUUGUAAUCUUAUAAUUAAUCCUGUAUGUCGCUGUAAUAAAAGAAAUAGUACUGGAAGCAGUGGUUUGUGUGCUAAACCCCUUUUACUGAGCAUUAAAUCUAUGGAUGAUUUCAACUCAGAAAGCGGGAUUGUGAAUUCAAAUGCCCACAUAGAAAUUGGUUAAUUGUUUUCACCUGUAUAGAGGUGCUAUAUUGAACCAUCGCACUGGGAGAUUUCGGCACAAGAUCGGCAGAAGUAGAGGUUUACAGUGAAUAAAAAGUGCAAGCCUUUGAAGAGCAGAGGCGAGUCGAACUCGACGCAAGAUGAGUUAAAGGCCCGACCACCUGCGGUCAUAAACUACAAUUUUGUCGGAAGUGUGCAGACCUGCGGUGAAUGUGGAUGUUCAUUCACUGCAAAAAUAGGCUACGUCAGCCACCUGAGAGGUCACGAUCAUCGUUCUCACUAGCCAGUGAAUACUCAGUCGCCGAGGCCGAAACCGGCUAGGACAGGAUGAUCAGAGGUGCGUAGCAAUGUAUGUUGCUUGGUUUUUAAAAAAAAAAGUUUGAGUUUGUUUGAUUGACAAUUGGUUUCAUUUGCUUACCAUAAAAGGUGUUUUAAAUUUGCAAUGUAAGUACUUGACGUUUGCUAUGUAUUGAUCUAGUUACUAACCCCUGUUUUUUUUUGUCAUUGUUUGUUUUUGGUCUGAGAGAUGACACGUUGGAAUACAAUGAGAAUAGAUCUCGACGAAAACGCAAGCAAGCAACCAUCAGCUUCAUCACACUUGGUGAGACACAGAGCCAACAUGGUUACGAACGAAGUCAAAAGGGUAAGGAUGACAUUGUGCAGUAUUCAGGUACAAUAUAGGUGCUUAGUGAAGUUAGUUAUUAACACUGAGUUGUAUAAUGACAUUAGGUGAAUAUAUACUAGGUAUUAUUACUAUUUUGGAUAGUCUAAUGACACUAAAAGGUAUUUUAUUUCUAAUGAUGUAUGAGUAUAUAAUGCCUAUAUAUGGCAAGAGAUAACAAUAAAAUGUUAUGGAUUGGUAUUACAGAGGUUAUUGCCAUGAUGAAUUGAUAGGAUAGUGAAGAUGAGAGGAAGAAACUGAUAGCGGGCUAGAAUUGUAGAUUGGCCCAUGACGGUUAUCAGUGGAAAGAGUUAAAAGAGGCUUUUACCAAGCACCACACUUAUUGAGAUAUAGCUCUAUUUCUAUAUUCCGGUCUCUAAUUCAGAAUAGGUGGUAAUUUAUAAUAGGUGGAUGUGCAUAUAAAUUACUUUAGAUAAAAGACUGAAGUUAGUUUUUGAUUUGACAACAAAGAAAUUAUUUAUAAACUUUUGUAUAUGAAAAAAAAAUGUUAAUUGAAGAUAUUGAAUGGUAUAUUCUACAUAGGUAGGUACAUGCAUUUAGUUUCAUAUCAUUGUUAUAUUGUAAAUUAUCAAUCUGGAUACUUAGAGAGAAGCACAUACAAACAAUAAUGAAUGAAUGAAAUCACACACAGUAUAAAUUCGAAAUUUGAAAUGACACAGGUAGUUUCACAUCUAUUUCAUAACAUUUAUUUAAAAGUCAUGCAUCUCAACAAUCCAAUUCAUUAGAUUAUGUAAUUCAUUCUGAAGCCUGAAAUUUGUAUAUGAGCAAGGUUUAUAUAAUUUAAAAAUGAAAAACAGAUGUGCAGAAUUUUUGGAAAUUGUCCAGGUAACUUACCUCACGCUUCACAUACAAAUCAAGGAAGUUUACAUUAAUGAUAUUAAUAUUUCAAAAUGUAAAAGAGACUUGUACUAUUAAUGGUGUCACAAUUAUUUUACAUCAAUUUACCAAAGAAUUAAGUUUGAAAAUAUAAGUAACAAUUACAAAGCAUCAUUAUUAUCAUUCAGGGAACAUGAUGCAUGGUCGCAUUGUGGAUACUGACAUUGCAUAUUAAAAUGAAAGGGUUAAGAUCUCCUUGUAGGUAUUUAAAAGAAAGUGAAUAAGUUCACUAUAUUUGGAAUUCUUGAAUAUCUACUUCAUACCUUCGAAUUGUUGACAAGUGGUAUUUAUAUUUAAACCUUAUUGCACAAAAUAGGUAUACACCAGUGUUCAAAUUUGUUUUUCUAAAUUUAUAAAUUUAAUGCAGGUCUUGUCUAAUGACUCUAGUGAAAGCGAUUGUUGCACGGGAUUGGCUAAACAAGAACAGAUUACUUUUCGGUGUUGACACAAUAUUUAUUGUCUAAUAAUAUUGCAUAGUAUUCAGUUAUAUUUUAAAAAUUUGACUAGGUAUGCGAAGUUGAAAUAGUACAGUUAUACAUUUGUAAUACCAUGGAUUGCGAUGAAAAAUGAUUAUGAUUACAAUCCAGUAAUAAACCACAAAUGAAACUAUGAAUUAUUGUUGCUAUGAAAUACAAUUUAUUUGUGGCUUUAUGGUUUCAUUUGCAUAAAAACUUAACAGCUGGUGAUGCCUAAGUUAAUCAAAUGGACGGAUCCUAGAGGUCAUAAAUUGUGGAAUUUGGGUUGCUAAGAGGUGGGUAAUGGUCAGGAAUAGUGUUGGUCGAAUGCAAAAGCAGAUUACUUGUGUAUACAUUAUCAAUUAUAAGAGGGUCCAUUUAUAAAAUUAAAAUGUUGGCAAGAGCAGUGCCUGUUUGAAAAGACAAGACUUAAAGAAUUCUCAUUUAAAAUUGACUUAAAGAGUAAGGUCGAUGAGUGGGUACAAAUAAUGUCACAAGUUUUAGUGCAGGGUUUUAGUAUGGUUUUGUGCAAAAGUCUGUGACUGACUUAAACAAAAGACUCAACACCAGAGUAAGUUGAAUGAACGAAUCUAAAAGUAUAUAACAUUCAAAUUUAAAGAAGCCUUAUAAAGUAGGCUGUGUAGAAGUAACUUGGAGUUAAUUUCUAUUUUACAUUUCUUUUCAAUUCAUUAAACUUUGAAAGUAUCCUUAAAAUUUGGUUUAUUGUUAGGUUUAACACAUGGUACAUUUAUGAGUUUAUGACGAAGACACAGUGAUGACAAGAGAAAUAGGUUGGUGAUAUUAACCAUGUGAACCAUGAUUCAUAAACACAACAUUUAUGGUUGCAGUUUUACAGCCAUAGCCGAUUGGCUCUAACUAUUAAAAAAAAAGGUGUAUAAAUAUAUUGGAAUUUAAUUACUUCCAAUAGUUUCAAUAAUAUAGUAGGUGGGGUAAUGACGCUAGUAUUUGCUAUGGUGUACUCGGUGUAGUAUACGCUUGUACCUAUUUGGAUCCUUUUCUUUCCGGGUGCAUGUGACCCCGAGGUUUAGUGUUGCGUUUUUUACCAUCUCUGUGGCUGAAUAUUACUAUGGUGAAAUGUUGCACGAAGUUUAGGACGAAACAUCAGGACCAUCAGGUUAUUGAAUAAAUAUCUGUUUAUAUAAAUUCAACAAAAUAAAACAUGAUUUAAAUGUAAUCUUCUCAUAGUUGAUAAAUUGAUGAAUAUUUAUUAUUUUAUUUUAUUAAUGUUGAGGAUUUUUGAUGAAGAUAAUGAUUGAUAUCCAUGACGACAUUGACGUCUAAUUACAAUUUUAGUAACGAAUACUCAUCGUUUCAUCGUGUCUAAUACAAAUACUUUAUUUAUAACGCUAAGGAAGAUCUUAGGUAACAGAGGUCCGAUAAUGAUGAUGAUGUAGGCAUAUGACUGAACAUGUCUACUAGUUAAGUAAGUGUCGAUGUCGGCGACAAUGUUUGCUCCAUGACUAUGACAGGGUCAAUAACUGGCCAUAUCGAUGAUAAAAACGGAGCUGGAUGAUUUCGAUGACAGUGUCGGCGAUAAAGCUUGACUGACCACUUUGAUGACGAUAUAUAGAUGACGUUUAUAGUAAGAUUAAUUGAUGAUGGUAAUGAUUGACUGAUUCCAUGUGUAUAAUCAAUGAUUAAAUUGUUGACGAGGACUGAGACUAAAAUGAUCGUUGCUACUGCAAAUAAUUAUAACAUUUGUUUUUAUUUUUUUUAUGUUACAACGCUGGUAACCUGGCUGAAUGGAUGAAGUUGAUAAUGAGCGAGGGCUUCGCAGCAAGAGCUGACUGAAGUAAACGAGGUUAAACUGUUAAGACGGUGCUGCCGAUGGACAGGGCCACAGAGCGAGGAACCGACAUACAUACGUGCCGUGUCCAAGAUUACUGCCUUCUGCAUCUGAUCCUUGAUCCAGCGACCAGCGAGAGUAUCUACAGGUGUUGUUUUGGACUCUUAGCUGACAAGAUUGCUAUUAUAUUAAUAUUAUGAAUCUAGAAUAUAACCGUUGAGUUUUGGCAGACUGUCUAGUGCAGGCCGUAAUGGCAGACUGUCUAGAGCAGGCCAUGACUGUUUAUUAUGUUAGUUUAUGCUUUGGCAAAGUUAAUAAAGCAGGCCUUAAGGGCAGACUGUGAAUGUUUAUGAUGAAUUAUACUUUGUCAAACUAUAGAGUAAGCCUAAAUGGCAGACUGUGAUUGUUUAUGAUAAAUUAUACUUUGCCAAACUAUUUAGAGCAGGCCUAAAUGGCAGACUGAUUGUUUUGAUGAAUUAUGUUUUGCAAAUCAUUUAAAGCAGGUCUUAAUACUGUGAUUGUUUAUGAUGAAUUAUGUUUUGCCAAACUAUUUAGAGCAGGCCUAAAUGGCAGACUGAUUGUUUUGAUGAAUUAUGUUUUGCAAAUCAUUUAAAGCAGGUCUUAAUACUGUGAUUGUUUAUGAUGAAUUAUGUUUUGCCAAACUAUUUAGAGCAGGCCUAAAUGGUCUUAAUACUGUGAUUGUUUAUGAUGAAUUAUGUUUUGCUAAACUAUUUAGAGCAGGCCUUAUAAGGGUAGACUGUCAUUGUUUAUGACGUUUUAUACUUUGCCAUACUGUUUAGAACAGGCCUUGAGGGCAGAUUGUGAAUGUUAAUGUUGGCUUAUACUUUGGCAGAUGUCUAGACCAGACCAAGACUGUAAGUUAGUUCAUAUGUAUUGAAAAUUUAUUGAAAGAAGGCUAUUAAUGCUACCAGGUGCUGGUUGUAUUAAAUUACUGUUUAGUGUUUAUAUGAUCUCAGGUUAUAGCAUGUGAAGUGUGAAGACUGAUUUCUCAAUAAGGUUAAUAUAUGCAACUAGUCAUUGGUUGUGUGAUUGACUAAUAAAAGUCUAUAGUCAGAAGUUUACAAAAACUGUUCUUAUGAAUGUUUGUUUGAUAUCGAUAAAAUUGUUAUGAUAUAUUGCUGUUGUUAUUAAUGUACAAUUGUUUUUAGUGAGAGGACUCACUAUAAAUAAAAGGACGGCCGAGUUGUAAGCAUCACAAUAGUUGAUAUCCUGUAUGUUACUUUAUACUGAUAAUAAUCACAUGUAGUAUGCACCUGACUUUAUACUUUUUGGUUAUUGUAUCUAUGGUCAUGUUUGUAGAGAGAGAACUGUCAGAUUUUGGCGGCGCUUCAUUUGCCCGAGGUUAUGUUGGAUUUGUUCUUUUGUAAUCUUAUAAUUAAUCCUGUAUGUCGCUGUAAUAAAAGAAAUAGUACUGGAA